CCUACGGGAGGCAGCAGUGGGGAAUUUUGGACAAUGGGCGCAAGCCUGAUCCAGCAAUGCCGCGUGCAGGAUGAAGGCCUUCGGGUUGUAAACUGCUUUUGUACGGAACGAAACGGUCCGCCCUAAUACGGUGGGCUAAUGACGGUACCGUAAGAAUAAGCACCGGCUAACUACGUGCCAGCAGCCGCGGUAAUACGUAGGGUGCAAGCGUUAAUCGGAAUUACUGGGCGUAAAGCGUGCGCAGGCGGUUAUAUAAGACAGAUGUGAAAUCCCCGGGCUCAACCUGGGACCUGCAUUUGUGACUGUAUAGCUAGAGUACGGUAGAGGGGGAUGGAAUUCCGCGUGUAGCAGUGAAAUGCGUAGAUAUGCGGAGGAACACCGAUGGCGAAGGCAAUCCCCUGGACCUGUACUGACGCUCAUGCACGAAAGCGUGGGGAGCAAACAGGAUUAGAUACCCUGGUAGUCCACGCCCUAAACGAUGUCAACUGGUUGUUGGGUCUUCACUGACUCAGUAACGAAGCUAACGCGUGAAGUUGACCGCCUGGGGAGUACGGCCGCAAGGUUGAAACUCAAAAUGAAAUUGACGGCGUGAGACGUGCCGACGGACGACGACGAGGGAGGAGG
rnacentral:rRNA from 1 species